AUACGGAAGGUCCGGGCGUUAUCCGGAUUUAUUGGGUUUAAAGGGAGCGCAGGCGGAGACGCAAGCGUGACGUCAAAUUUCGGGGCUCAACCCCGUCUCGCGUCGCGAACUGCGUCCCUUGGUUGCGGGAAGGGGAGGCGGAACUCGUGGGGUAGCGGUGAAAUGCAUAGAUAUCACGAAGAACUCCGAUCGCGAAGGCAGCCUUCCGGCCCGUCAACGACGCUCAUGCUCGAAGGUGCGGGUAUCAAACAGGAUUAGAUACCCUGGUAGUCCGCACAGUAAACGAUGGACACCCGCGGUUUGGCCUAUAUGGCUGAGCCGCCAAGCGAAAGCGUUAAGUGUCCCACCUGGGGAGUACGCCGGCAACGGUGAAACUCAAAUGAAUUGACGGGG
rnacentral:rRNA from 1 species